AUGAACGCUAGCUACAGGCUUAACACAUGCAAGUCGAGGGGAAACGACAUCGAAAGCUUGCUUUUGAUGGGUGUCGACCGGCGCACGGGUGAGUAACGCGUAUCCAACCUGCCCACCACUUGGGGAUAACCUUGCGAAAGUAAGACUAAUACCCAAUGAUAUCUCUAGAAGACAUCUGAAAGAGAUUAAAGAUUUAUCGGUGAUGGAUGGGGAUGCGUCUGAUUAGCUUGUUGGCGGGGUAACGGCCCACCAAGGCAACGAUCAGUAGGGGUUCUGAGAGGAAGGUCCCCCACAUUGGAACUGAGACACGGUCCAAACUCCUACGGGAGGCAGCAGUGAGGAAUAUUGGUCAAUGGACGAGAGUCUGAACCAGCCAAGUAGCGUGCAGGAAGACGGCCCUAUGGGUUGUAAACUGCUUUUAUAAGGGAAUAAAGUUAGUCUCGUGAGACUUUUUGCAUGUACCUUAUGAAUAAGGACCGGCUAAUUCCGUGCCAGCAGCCGCGGUAAUACGGAAGGUCCGGGCGUUAUCCGGAUUUAUUGGGUUUAAAGGGAGCGUAGGCCGGAGAUUAAGCGUGUUGUGAAAUGUAGACGCUCAACGUCUGCACUGCAGCGCGAACUGGUUUCCUUGAGUACGCACAAAGUGGGCGGAAUUCGUGGUGUAGCGGUGAAAUGCUUAGAUAUCACGAAGAACUCCGAUUGCGAAGGCAGCUCACUGGAGCGCAACUGACGCUGAAGCUCGAAAGUGCGGGUAUCGAACAGGAUUAGAUACCCUGGUAGUCCACGCCGUAAACGAUGUCGACUUGGAGGUUGUGCCCUUGAGGCGUGGCUUCCGGAGCUAACGCGUUAAGUCGACCGCCUGGGGAGUACGGCCGCAAGGUUGAAACUCAAAGGAAUUGACGGGGGCCCGCACAAGCAGUGGAGUAUGUGGUUUAAUUCGAAGCAACGCGAAGAACCUUACCAGGCCUUGACAUCCCGAUGACCGGCUUAGAGAUAAGCCUUCUCUUCGGAGCAUCGGAGACAGGUGGUGCAUGGUUGUCGUCAGCUCGUGCCGUGAGGUGUCGGCUUAAGUGCCAUAACGAGCGCAACCCCUCUCCUUAGUUGCCAUCAGGUCAAGCUGGGCACUCUGGGGACACUGCCACCGUAAGGUGUGAGGAAGGUGGGGAUGACGUCAAAUCAGCACGGCCCUUACGUCCGGGGCUACACACGUGUUACAAUGGCAGGUACAGAGAGACGGUCCCUUGCAAAACGGAUCAAAUCCUUAAAGCCUGUCUCAGUUCGGACUGGGGUCUGCAACCCGACCCCACGAAGCUGGAUUCGCUAGUAAUCGCGCAUCAGCCAUGGCGCGGUGAAUACGUUCCCGGGCCUUGUACACACCGCCCGUCACACCACGAGAGUUUGUAACACCCGAAGUCGGUGAGGUAACCUUUUAGGGGCCAGCCGCCUAAGGUGGGAUAGAUGAUUGGGGUG
rnacentral:rRNA from 1 species